CAUUCCAGGUUCGUGUCAAAACCAGCGUGAAGUCUCUGAAAGGUGGAAAAGAACACUAUAAGGAAGGAGAUCACAGGUGACAGCUGGGCAGCACAAUUCAGGAGACACAAUCAAGGAGGAGCCAUUAAGCAAAGCACCCUGUUUGUUGGAAAGAAUCCCUGAAGGACAUAACAGGAAAGCAAGAAUCACGGAGAACAAAAAACGGUGGGAUCCAAAUCCAAAAUACCCAGCCAGAGAGCAGAGAAUCAACAUGCCAAGUCAGUGCCAGUUCCACCACACUCUGAGCAGUGGGAAGGACUGAUUCUACUAAAGAGCAUGGGAUGGAGGAUGUCUUGCACUUGAGGUGCUCUUUGGCUUCUGCUUUGAAGAAUGACUGCAAUUGAAUCCAAUGGCCAACUGAGAAGGUCUUCCCAGGAUGAGGCAGACUCCCAUUUAUCGAGCCCAGAUGUGCAGAAGCAGUGCCUGCUGCAUUUAAGGGAGAGGAAAUGGUCCCUUCAUCAUGUGGUGGAAGACAGAAACAAUAGGGAAAAUUUUCUGCAAUUUCAAGUUGUUUUUUUUUUUUUUCUCCAGGCCUAAAAUGGGAUUCUUAAAGUGUAUGGAUCCUUUCAAGUCUAAUGCUUUGCUGUUUUUGGUUAAUUUCCAUUGUAAAUAUUCAUAUUUAGCAGUGUCAAAUCCCACGCAGCAUUCACAAAUUCCCUGAAUUUUCCUGUUCGGUAAUGAGAAAUGAAUGAAUGCAUGGGUGUAAAUAGAUAUGGG